GGCCCAAUGGUCUAGAAGUAUGAUACUCCCUUCGGGUUUCGCCCGGCUUGUAUAAGCUGUCAAUGGGAGUGGUCCCGGGUUCAAUUCCCGGUUGAGCCC